GUGUGAUUACUGUGGGAAAGGUUGCUCAGUUUUCACUUCUAAGUCAGGGUCACAUGUUGGAAGGAAAUUUUUUAAAUGUUCAAUGAAUUGCCACUUCUUCAUGUGGGUUGACCAUCUUAAGAUGUGUGACUAUGGGAACGGUCAGUGUAAGGUCAGAACUGCGAAAACAAGUGCAAAUUAUGGUCGAUAUUUUUGGUGCUGUCCAUAAUCAACUGGGGUUGAAAACAAAGGUUGUGGAAUGUUUGAAUGGAUAUCAAGUUCAAGCCCAAGUUGUGAUACUUACCAGACUCCACCUAGGUCCCUAUGCUCAGAAACAUCAACUUCAUCAUCUCCUUCCCCUUCAUCAGACUAUAUCAAAGGAUACUUGAAUGGUGCGAUAAAAGAAUCUGAGGGUCAUAUGAGGAUGCUGAGAGAUGUUCUUGACGUAGUCAAGAAGCUUGAUUUAAACAAAAAUGUAUGAUGAACUUUUUUGGAACUUUUUAAAAAGAAAAGUCUGAAGCCAUUGUAA